AAGCAAGGAUUGACACUGCGACCGAGUCAAGCUCAAAAUGCAUACUUGCCUCUGAAAAUUCAACCGGUAACGUUUCAAUUAAGUUAUUUAACGGCUGAAGUCUUUUUUCGAUAACAUCAAUUUCGGCCUCAGGUACUGUAAACUCCAUUGACCUGGAUUUUACCUCCAUAACUUUACCCAAAAGCUUUUCCAAACGAGAUAUUUCAACCGAUUUCUCGUCGAAUUCCGUUGUGACCCUCUUUAAUUCCAUUUUAACAUAGGCGCGACGGGCUUGUAAUUGUUGCCAUGCAGAAGCAUGGUGUUCACAUUCAACCCGAGCAAGCCUGGAGAGCUGGUUAAUUCCAGAAGUGGACAUAUCACGACCUUCUAAACCCAAUUCUUCUUUAUUUGAAGUCACAAAUUCGAUUUCCUUAGUAUCAUUUAAGGAAGCAUCAAUGAGACUGGCUAAGAACC